rnacentral:rRNA from 1 species
UAGGGAAUCUUCCACAAUGGGCGAAAGCCUGAUGGAGCGACGCCGCGUGUGUGAUGAAGGGUUUCGGCUCGUAAAACACUGUUGUAAGAGAAGAAUGACAUUGAGGGUAACUGUUCAAUGUGUGACGGUAUCUUACCAGAAAGGAACGGCUAAAUACGUGCCAG